UACCCCGAGAUGUCACCCUCCAUUAUGGAUUAACGUCGUCUCUCUCGCACAAGGUUAGCGCCCGCCCGCCCGCCCGCCCCACGACAAGCAGAGAGAGAUGCGCCAUGGCCACUGAGAGCAGCGGCCCAGCAGGAGACGGCGCUCGGGAGGGAAGGACAGCGGGAAUGGUGGUGGCCGGUUUUGGGCAGGAUGAACCAAGACCAGUUUCUGCUGAAGUGGAACAACCACCAGAAUAAUUUUGUCGAAGUGUUUAGCUUUUUACGUACGCAGGAUGCUUUUGUCGACGUU